CCUACGGGAGGCAGCAGUGGGGAAUUUUGGACAAUGGGCGCAAGCCUGAUCCAGCAAUGCCGCGUGCAGGAUGAAGGCCUUCGGGUUGUAAACUGCUUUUGUACGGAACGAAACGGCUCUUUCUAAUAAAGAGAGCUAAUGACGGUACCGUAAGAAUAAGCACCGGCUAACUACGUGCCAGCAGCCGCGGUAAUACGUAGGGUGCGAGCGUUAAUCGGAAUUACUGGGCGUAAAGCGUGCGCAGGCGGUUAUAUAAGACAGAUGUGAAAUCCCCGGGCUCAACCUGGGACCUGCAUUUGUGACUGUAUAGCUAGAGUACGGUAGAGGGGGAUGGAAUUCCGCGUGUAGCAGUGAAAUGCGUAGAUAUGCGGAGGAACACCGAUGGCGAAGGCAAUCCCCUGGACCUGUACUGACGCUCGUGCACGAAAGCGUGGGGAGCAAACAGGAUUAGAUACCCUGGUAGUCCACGCCCUAAACGAUGUCAACUGGUUGUUGGGUCUUCACUGACUCAGUAACGAAGCUAACGCGUGAAGUUGACCGCCGUCGGGAGGUACGGCCGGCGACGGUUAGUAACGUAACGAAAGUAAGUAGACGNGAGAGAGACGACGACGACGACGACGGAGGGAGGAGG
rnacentral:rRNA from 1 species